rnacentral:rRNA from 1 species
AGCGCAGACGGAACUGCAAGUCUGAUGUGAAAGCCCGGGGCUCAACCGCGGGACUGCAUUGGAAACUGUAGAUCUGGAGUGCCGGAGGGGCAAGCGGAAUUCCUGGUGUAGCGGUGAAAUGCGUAGAUAUCAGGAGGAACACCGGCGGCGAAGGCGGCUUGCUGGACGGCAACUGACGUUGAGGCUCGAAAGCGUGGGGAGCAAACAG